rnacentral:tRNA from 1 species
GCCUCUUUAGCUCAGUUGGUUAGAGCAAUCGCCUCUUAAGCGAUGGGUCGUCAGUUCGAAUCUGACAAGGGGUAC